rnacentral:rRNA from 1 species
CCUACGGGAGGCAGCAGUGGGGAAUAUUGCACAAUGGGGGGAACUCUGAUGCGGCGACGCCGCGUGAGUGAAGAAGUAUUUCGGUAUGUAAAGCUCUGUCAGCAGGGAAGAAGAAAGACGGGAACUGACCAAAAAGCCCCGGCUAACUACGUGCCAGCAGCCGCGGGAAUACGUAGGGGGGAAGCGUUAUCCGGAUUUACUGGGUGGAAAGGGAGCGUAGACGGGAGGGCAAGUCUGGAGUGAAAGGCAGGGGCCCAACCCCUGGACUGCUCUGGAAACUGUCCGGCUGGAGUGCAGGAGAGGUAAGUGGAAUUCCUAGUGUAGCGGUGAAAUGCGUAGAUAUUAGGAGGAACACCAGUGGCGAAGGCGGCUUACUGGACUGUAACUGACGUUGAGGCUCGAAAGCGUGGGGAGCAAACAGGAUUAGAUACCCCUGUAGUC